UACGUACCGUCCAAACGUUAUUCGGAAUUACUGGGCUUAAAGGGUAUGUAGGCGGCGCUGUUAGUCGGGUGUGAAAUCCCUCGGCUCAACCGAGGAAUUGCGCCCGAUACUGCAGUGCUUGAGGGAGACAGAGGUAAGCGGAACUGAUGGUGGAGCGGUGAAAUGCGUUGAUAUCAUCAGGAACACCGGUGGCGAAAGCGGCUUACUGGGUCUCUUCUGACGCUGAGAUACGAAAGCUGAGGUAGCAGGGAAGG
rnacentral:rRNA from 1 species